GACGAACGCCGGCGGCGUGCCUAAUACAUGCAAGUAGAACGCUGAAGAGAGGAGCUUGCUCUUCUUGGAUGAGUUGCGAACGGGUGAGUAACGCGUAGGUAACCUGCCUGGUAGCGGGGGAUAACUAUUGGAAACGAUAGCUAAUACCGCAUGAUAUUAAUUAUCGCAUGAUAAUUAAUUGAAAGAUGCAAUUGCAUCACUACCAGAUGGACCUGCGUUGUAUUAGCUAGUUGGUGAGGUAACGGCUCACCAAGGCGACGAUACAUAGCCGACCUGAGAGGGUGAUCGGCCACACUGGGACUGAGACACGGCCCAGACUCCUACGGGAGGCAGCAGUAGGGAAUCUUCGGCAAUGGGGGGAACCCUGACCGAGCAACGCCGCGUGAGUGAAGAAGGUUUUCGGAUCGUAAAGCUCUGUUGUAAGAGAAGAAACGGGUGUGAGAGUGGAAAGUUCACAACUGGG
rnacentral:rRNA from 1 species